rnacentral:rRNA from 1 species
GACGAGGGAUCCUAGCGUUGUUCGGAAUUAUUGGGCGUAAGCGGGUGUAGGCGGACUUAUAAGUCAGGUGUGAAAUCCCAGGGCUCAACCCGUGGAAGUGCACUUGAUACUGCAAGUCUUGAGUGUGGUAGAGGCUAUUAGAAUUCCUGGUGUAGUGGUGAAAUUACGGUAAGAUAUCAGGAGGAAUACCGGAGGCGAAGGCGGAUAGCUGGGA